GGCAGAGGGAGACCGGCUCCCGUGUCCCGGCCCGCGGCGCUGCCGCGCAAGGGGCAUGAGGAAAGCCCCCCCACCGUCCGGGCGGGCGACCGGGCGCAAGCCCGGGGCGGGAGACCGCCGGCUCUGGAACAGAAACGAGACCCCUCUCCCCGACCGAUGAGGUGCGCGAACCCCGAGCCAGACGGCUCACGCCGCAAGCGACGGGGAGUUGACCCACCGAGGAUCGACGGGAGAGAACGGAUGGAACGGCGAACCCUCGCCGGUGCAAGUCCGGACCGAAAGGUAGCCCGGACGACGGUCCGGACGCUCAGCCGAAUGCCGGCCGAACAGAAGGGGGCUUACUCCCCUCAGCC
rnacentral:RNase_P_RNA from 1 species